GCCUGGCUAGCUUAGUUGGUAGAGCAUGGGACUCUUAAUCCCAAGGUCAUGGGUUCAAGCCCCAUGUUGGAUG